ACUGGGAAUUUUAAGUUCUAAAUUCAGCAGCAGAAUUGCUCUUUUUAAAUGCACAGCUACAGUUUCCUUGAAAGAAAGGGAAAAAAAAAAAAGCUGAAGUAGAAAUAAACUAUAGAAGAACACCACCAUCCCUCUGAGUGAGGCGACACCCUGCUUCCCAGUGCAUCACACACCCAGGAGCUUCACCUGGCCAGUCAGCAACUGGAACUGUCAGCAACUGUUGUUCCUCUCCAUCUUCCCACAGAGCCAGUAUGUUUUGUUCCUGACAAUUAAAUGUACCUGCUUUUGACUCAGCCUUUCCAUUUUCCAGCAGAUCCUACUCAGGCCAUUCAGGAACAGUGUUAGCCAGGAACAGAAUUACCAUUCCACAUGGAAGUACAGGCAGGACUACACAGCAUACUGACCAAAUGGGAUCAAUAGAGAAAACCUGCGGAAGGUCAGACGAGCAAACAACAUGAAGAAAAACAGGCUGAAGAGUAAAACACAUCCCAACACAGUCUCCAAGUUCUUCAAAGAAGCUUGAUACUGAAGCUGACAAGACCACAAAAUGAGAACAACCUUGUUUUCAAGAGAGC